UACGUAGGGGGCAAGCGUUGUCCGGAUUUAUUGGGCGUAAAGAGCUCGUAGGCGGUCUGUCACGUCGGCUGUGAAAUCCCGAGGCUCAACCUCGGGUCUGCAGUCGAUACGGGCAAACUAGAGUAUUGCAGGGGAGACUGGAAUUCCUGGUGUAGCGGUGAAAUGCGCAGAUAUCAGGAAGAACACCUAUGGCGAAGGCAGCUCUCUGGGACGGUACUGACGCUGAGACGCGAAAGCGUGGGGAGCGAACAGG
rnacentral:rRNA from 1 species